rnacentral:rRNA from 1 species
AGAGUUUGAUCAUGGCUCAGAGCGAACGCUGGCGGCAGGCCUAACACAUGCAAGUCGAACGGACCCUUCGGGGUUAGUGGCGGACGGGUGAGUAACACGUGGGAACGUGCCUUUAGGUUCGGAAUAGCUCCUGGAAACGGGUGGUAAUGCCGAAUGUGCCCUUCGGGGGAAAGAUUUAUCGCCUUUAGAGCGGCCCGCGUCUGAUUAGCUAGUUGGUGAGGUAACGGCUCACCAAGGCGACGAUCAGUAGCUGGUCUGAGAGGAUGACCAGCCACACUGGGACUGAGACACGGCCCAGACUCCUACGGGAGGCAGCAGUGGGGAAUCUUGCGCAAUGGGCGAAAGCCUGACGCAGCCAUGCCGCGUGAAUGAUGAAGGUCUUAGGAUUGUAACAUUCUUUCACCGGGGACGAUAAUGACGGUACCCGGAGAAGAAGCCCCGGCUAACUUCGUGCCAGCAGCCGCGGUAAUACGAAGGGGGCUAGCGUUGCUCGGAAUUACUGGGCGUAAAGGGCGCGUAGGCGGAUCGUUAAGUCAGAGGUGAAAUCCCAGGGCUCAACCCUGGAACUGCCUUUGAUACUGGCGAUCUUGAGUAUGAGAGAGGUAUGUGGAACUCCGAGUGUAGAGGUGAAAUUCGUAGAUAUUCGGAAGAACACCAGUGGCGA